GACGAGGGGUCCAAGCGUUGCUCGGAAUCAUUGGGCGUAAAGCGAGUGUAGGUGGCUUUGUAAGUCAGAGGUGAAAUCCUGGAGCUCAACUCCAGAACUGCCUUUGAUACUGGAGAGCUUGAGUCCGGGAGAGGUGAGUGGAACUGCGAGUGUAGAGGUGAAAUUCGUAGAUAUUCGCAAGAACACCAGUGGCGAAGGCGGCUCACUGGCCCGGUACUGACGCUGAGGUGCGAAAGCGUGGGGAGCAAACAGG
rnacentral:rRNA from 1 species